GUCAGUGCAGUAGUUUGACCACCAUCUUGAUUGCAUGGGCAUCAAGUAUAAGGACAAUUGAUUUUAGUGCAAGUGAGAGAUUGAAAGAAUAAUGCCCUAUAAGCCAGUCGCAUAUGGGAUGCGAUAGAGUAUUUUUUAUAAUUUAUCUUUCAAACUCAUGUAAUUAAUAUUAAUAUUUAAUAAAAUAAGUAUUUUUGAUUUAUUAUAU
rnacentral:lncRNA from 1 species